ACGGAAUAUUUGACUUGAUGACAUAAAUAGAACGAGUUAUGAUUAAUGCGCAUGUUGAUGUUCGAAUAAAUAGUUCGAACCUAAAUGAUAGUUAUGUGAUAAAAUGUUUUGAGUUUAAGGUUUUGAAUGAGACAAGAUUAAUAUGGAUGCUAGAACCCUAAAAUCAUUAAAGGAGAUAGUUUAGUUUAGAGACCUAUCUUCCUUUCUUACACGACUUUCUUCUCGAACUUAUCGACUCUUCGUCAAUAAAGGUCCAGACGGGAAGUGAAAGCUAAAGAAGGAGGUAACUCUACGCCCCUAGUGGGAACGGAAUGAGGUGGGCUUUCUUAAAACACGUAUAUAGAGAUCCCCUGCAUACAGGCCUCUUAUACGAAAUGAAAUGAAUGACAUGAUAUGACUGUAUUAUUUCAAAUGGUGAAUGGUUCUUAUGAAAUGAAAUGUUUAUGGAAAUGAUUAAAUGAUGAAUGGUUCUUAUGAAAGGAAAGGAAAUGUUUAUGAAAUGAUUGUCUGCCAAAAAUGUUUAUGUUUUAUGUAUGUAUCCUAUCUGUGUUGGUUCGCCAACUAUAAAGGAAAUCGA
rnacentral:lncRNA from 1 species